UCGAGAAUAUUUGUCAAUGUACGAAAGUAUGAACAUGCGACGCCGCGUGGAGGAUGAAGGCCUUCGGGUUGUAAACUCCUGUCAUGAGGGAGUAAGUGUAUGCUGGCUAAUAUCCAGCGUAUUUGACAGUACCUCAAGAGGAAGUCACGGCUAACUCUGUGCCAGCAGCCGCGGUAAUACAGAGGUGGCAAGUGUUGUUCGGAUUUACUGGGCGUAAAGGGUCCGCAGGCGGCUUUGUGUGUCAGAUGUGAAAUCCCACGGCUCAACCGUGGAAUUGCAUUUGAAACUACAGGGCUAGAGUACAGGAGAGGAGAGGGGAAUUCAUGGUGUAGCGGUGAAAUGCGUAGAUAUCAUGAAGAACACCGGUGGCGAAAGCGCCUCUCUGGACUGAUACUGACGCUCAUGGACGAAAGCCAGGGGAGCAAAGA
rnacentral:rRNA from 1 species